rnacentral:rRNA from 1 species
UACGAAGGGGGCUAGCGUUGCUCGGAAUCACUGGGCGUAAAGCGCACGUAGGCGGACUCUUAAGUCGGUGGUGAAAUCCUGGAGCUCAACUCCAGAACUGCCUCCGAUACUGGGAGCCUUCGAGUCCGGGAGAGGUGAGUGGAACUGCGAGUGUAGAGGUGAAAUUCGUAGAUAUUCGCAAGAACACCAGUGGCGAAGGCGGCUCACUGGCCCGAUACUGACGCUGAGGCGCGAAAGCUAGGGUAGCAAACGGG